UAUCUUAUUGAUAUCUUAUUCCAGUGUUUUUCUCUAAUUUUUCUAUGCAACUUUGCACUGUCCACUGAUGUAACAAAACAAAUUUCCCACGCAUGGGACUAAUAAAGGCUCAAGACAACUCAAGUACUCUUCAUUACUCUGAAGUCGAUUUUUCCCACAUUCCUGCCACCAACAGCGCUCCAUCUCGUAAUGCAACUGAUGUUGUUUACUCCACACCUGUGGUACAUACCAGCCCUUCCAACCACACCAAAGAUUCUUCAUCUCCUCUGUACUCAGCAGUUAAAAAACGGUAUUAAUGCUGCCGAUGGCACCUUCCCUCUCACAAAGAUCAACAGGUGAUCGUAAUUCAUAGAAAAUGAGGUUCUUUUCUGCUUAUUUAAGUGAACUGAAUGUUCAAACAAUUAGCCUCAGAUUAAUUUAUUUAAUUAUUUAGUUAUAUCUACUUUAACUUAACAGACAACUAAUUGCAUGCAUACUUUUUGGAAACUGGAGUAUUUUUCAUUAAGAAAUACAGGAAAACCCAACUGACUUGGAACAUCCGUGGCUGUAUGAGAGCAUGCAGUGGUCUCAGGUCAGUCAGCAGGUUGUUCUUGGAGGGACAUCCAUAAAUGGAGUUAGCAAAACGGCUUCUUUCACAUGUAGAAAUUUACAUCAAGCGGUUUCUUUCUUGCCCAAACCUAACAAAACUGAGACUGAAAAGUGAAUAAUGGCAUGAAAAUCUGCACAAAACUCAAAAACAUUCUGUCAGAAAACCCUAAAGACAAGUUCCACUAGUGACAGUUUCCGUUUUCUUUCUGUUGGCAAUGUAAACAAGCAAAGAAAACAAACAAAAAAAACCCCAAAAAACAAGCAAAAAACAAAAAGAUGGGUGAAUUGAUUUAAAAUAUUAUUUUAAUAAAGCUUUUGGGAUUGCACUCUUCUUGCCCGAUUAUCCAGUGUUUUCUAUCAUGCUUGGCUCCCAUAAUCUCUAUAAAACAUGGCGCAGUCUUAUCGUCCAGGCCUGAAAAGUGAAGCUGAUUUGGAAGGUUCAACAAAUCCAGCAAAGCCAAACAUGUCAGACUUUAAUGUGAAGAUGCCUAAAUCCACAGCAGAAAUAAAAUGCAACCUGCCAUAAAAAACAAAUAAAUGACCAAAACACCAAAUUGAAUGAUAGGCGCCUAGCUUUGCUCACAAACCUGCUUGUUUGUGUAAUUUUGUACUGACACAAACACUGAAAGUACUGUGUUA
ensembl:lncRNA